UAACCGGAUUAUAUACCCUGGUACUCCAUGCCGUAUACUAUGAGUGUUCGCCCUUGGUCUACUCGGAUCAUGGGCCCAUCUAAAGCGUGAAACACUCCGCCUGGGGAGUACGGUCGCAAGACCGAAACUCAAAGGAAUUGACGGGGGCCUGCACAAUCGGUGGAGCAUGUGGUUUAAUUCGAUACAACGCGCAAAACCUUACCAGCCCUUGACGUAUGAACAACAAAACCUGUCCUUAACGGGAUGGUACUUACUUUCAUACACGUGCUGCAUGGCUGUCGUCCGCUCGUGUCGUGAGAUGUUUGGUCUAGUCCUAUCACCAGCGAAACCCUCGUUUUGUGUUGCUG
rnacentral:rRNA from 1 species